GGUCCCGUAGUUCAACGGAUAGAAUAGACGUUUCCUAAACGUUUGAUAUGGGUUCGAUUCCCGUCGGGACCA
rfam:Arsenicibacter rosenii strain SM-1 scaffold16, whole genome shotgun sequence.